rnacentral:rRNA from 1 species
UACGUAGGUGGCAAGCGUUGUCCGGAAUUAUUGGGCGUAAAGAGCGCGCAGGCGGUCGUUCAAGUCGAGUGUGAAAGCCCCCCGGCUCAACUGGGGAGGGUCACUCGAUACUGAUCGACUCGAAGGCAGAAGAGGGAAGCGGAAUUCCCGGUGUAGUGGUGAAAUGCGUAGAUAUCGGGAGGAACACCAGUGGCGAAGGCGGCUUUCUGGUCUGCUCUUGACGCUGAGGCGCGAAAGCUAGGGUAGCAAACGGG